CACCCCCUAACAUCAUCUGGUUGAGCAGAUGGAACGUUAACUUUAAGGAGGCAAUAGCCUAAUCAGUCUAAUAAUUCAUCUUAGCCAAUAUAUGUGGCAAAUAAAGUCUGAUACAUAACUCUGACAUCUAGCAAAAUCACCUAUCAUGACUUCUUCAAAUCCAUGAUCAUUUUUUUUGUCAUAUUGGCAAAUUGCUUGACACUCAGCCAAAAGGUGCUGACGUUCCAAGAUCCCUUUUCCACGACCUUCAAUCCAGUAAUAGCCAAAAACAGUCUAAAUAAGUUCACAUACAUAUUCCUAGUCAACCAUGAUUUACCGAUCUAAUAGUCCAGAGUAACAAUUACAGACAACGCUAAUAGAACUUUAUAGGAAACAAGAAUACUGCUUAGGCUAUUCCUUGAAAGAAACAACAAUGUGUUAGCGGUAAAAAAUGAUUGAUUAAAUUCCACAAGUGUUAGGUCAAUAGUCAUGCCUCUUAUGACUGAUGUAUACUCUCGUGUCAUUAGAGUAAUCUUACCACAAAUGCAGAAGGAUAACUAUAAAAGGCAACCAAAAUAAUUGAAGUAACAUAACUGCGUUACUUACCUUUGAAUUUUUUUAUUCACAUAGCAUUUAUAUUCUCAUUGAGUUUCUUUUAGUACCAUUGUUUGCCACCAAACUGACAUAAAACAGUCAAUGAAAAGAAGCAUGUGCAAAAUCAGUCCAAAGGAAAAGCUAAAGAAAUCAAGAAAUUCUACAAUUGCCUUCAACAAAAUUCAACAAUACCUCAUUGCAGAGCGCUCUUAUCUCUAAAACGUCACAACCUCUCAGAGAACUUUCUUUGACACAAUCUGAAGACAACCAAGAAAUUUGGACAUGCAUAAGUAGAAUCAAUUAAGAGAAGAGCAAAAGAACAGGUAGUUCUAGAAUAGUCAUAAGAAAUUUCUAUACCUUCUACGCGGAAAAUAUAAUACGGAGUAUAUGGAAUUCGAAAAGGGCAGAGGAAAAAUUUCAGGAAAAAAAAUAAUCAGAAUCCAGGAAGAAGAUGAUGUAAGAGAGGGAAAAAGAGCGCUAUGGGAAACCACAACGUACGAUCCACAACGUACGAUUCUAGAAAUAUGGAUACGAAGAAAGAAGAGAAGAUUCAAAACACGUCGUUCAAAAAGUAUACGUGUGAAAACCAAUUUGGAAAAAACAGCCCUCACUAUGCACCGUACGAUUUUAUCCUUGGACGACCAAAUUGUGCAUUUCAACGCUCAAACUCCAGAUUUUAUUGGACCAUCAUCCACAAGAUCUUGAACCUCACUGUAUUGAAUCCCACGGCACAAGAAUAAAAUCUAUCAUCAAAUUUUUAAUUAUGGCAUAACCAAAGAUAUGAGGCAAGCUUGCUCUGGAUUACUGUAAGUUUAAAAAAAUCACCAAAAUCACAUUUCUAAACUUACAAAAUUUAUUUUGUGUGCCUUGGGUAUGACAUCAUCACUUUGUAGAGUUGUAUAGCUCAUUCAUGGCUGCAAAAAUAAAGUAUAUUUAGGUAUAAAAUGGUAACUAAGUUAUGCUAGAGCCCAAUACAUCUUUAAAAUAAAGACUAUCUUUCAUGUUUCUUACUUUUCUUAAUUUUUUCUCCUUCAUGCAUUUCAAUUCAACAUUCUGCAAAAAAAGGAAAGCAGCAAUCCUGGUCAUAAACAAAUCUAUAUAUAACAUUUUUAUACCAAAUGCACUAAAGUAAAAUUUGCUAUAUAAACAAAAUAUCAAUUAAUAGCGAGUCAGUCAUAAAUAAUUUUGGAUUUUGCUAGGUACGACCAAUGGUCACUAUGUAGUAUUUUGGGCUAUUUUCUAUAUAUAACCAAACAUUUGUUGAGUAACAGAUUAAACUCUGUUUUUUUUCUUUCAUUCAAGCAUUAUCCUAUUUCUAUGUAGAACUUACAAGUCACAACUAAGAAGUUACUUAUAGAAAAUUAAGCUCUUUCACAUACCUAUUACCUGUACCAUGUCAGUGAUAGUCAUACUAUCCUUCUUCCUUUUGUUAGAGCAGAUUCUUUAACACAUGAAGGAUAUGGAAAGAAUAUUAUAUCAGUUCAUUUUCUCACAUUCAUCGUAAGUAUAAGAGUUACCUGACAGUUGAAGUGUGAAGAAAUGCACAGAACAAUAGAAGAAGCACCAGAAACACAUAGAAGAAUAUAAGCCCCUGAGGUUGCAGUUUUCUUCCAAAAUUACCAGCUGUUUUUCGAUUGUUAUACCUGUAAGAAAAGCCGCUAGAAAUUACUUGUAUUUACAAAAUUAAAUUGUAUUCCAUUACAACAAAGGAGGCCAUGCAUAAAUAGAGGCCACUAUAAGAGUGAAAAUACAAAGCAGCAACAUGCAAAGAUCGAAAAUACCAAAUUGAACUCAUCUGACCGAUUUUAACUUAUAUUAAGUCAGAACCCCUAUAUCUAAACCAACAAAAUAGGAUUAGUUGUUUGUGAUUGUAGAAAAAACUGUUAACCUACCCUGAUAAAAAAAUAUUUGAAGGUAUGCGCUAGGAAUCGACAUUCUUUGAAGUAUUCUGCAAAUGGAUGAUAAUGUUUCACUUAAUUAAAUCCUAAUUCCUGAUUGCAUGUACAAGAUUCAGUGAAGAAAAAAGUUAAAUAAU
rnacentral:lncRNA from 1 species